rfam:Equus caballus chromosome 1, whole genome shotgun sequence.
CAGUGGUGGUUGCUUUGAAAAUAUCUCUUAGAUCUUGGGACAGCAAUACUAGUAAGUAUAGCAAAGUUAUCAAAGCCUGGAGCUAUGCUUAUUUGACUUUUAUAUUAUAACAUCUUUACCAGAGGUGCAUAUUUAAAGCACCAAGAAAACUUUGCUCUUCUGAAAGAAUG